rnacentral:rRNA from 1 species
CCCCCAGGGGGAAGGCCCCCGGCUGAACGGUUCCGACGGUGAGGGACGAAGGCCAGGGGAGCGAACCGGAUUAGAUACCCGGGUAGUCCCUGGCUGUAAAGGAUGCGGGCUAGGUGUCGGGCGAGCUUCGAGCUCGCCCGGUGCCGAAGGGAAGCCGUUAAGCCCGCCGCCUGGGGAGUACGGCCGCAAGGCUGAAACUUAAAGGAAUUGGCGGGGGAGCACUACAAGGGGUGGAGCGUGCGGUUUAAUUGGAUUCAACGCCGGGAACCUCACCGGGGGCGACGGCAGGAUGAAGGCCAGGCUGAAGGUCUUGCCGGACACGCCGAGAGGAGGUGCAUGGCCGCCGUCAGCUCGUACCGUGAGGCGUCCACUUAAGUGUGGUAACGAGCGAGACCCGCGCCCCCGGUUGCCAGUCCUCCCCGCUGGGGAGGAGGCACUCUGGGGGGACCGCCGGCGAUAAGCCGGAGGAAGGAGCGGGCGACGGUAGGUCAGUAUGCCCCGAAACCCCCGGGCUACACGCGCGCUACAAUGGGCGGGACAAUGGGAUCCGACCCCGAAAGGGGAAGGGAAUCCCCUAAACCCGCCCCCAGUUCGGAUCGCGGGCUGCAACUCGACCCGCGUGAAGCUGGAAUCCCUAGUACCNNNNGUNUCAUCAUCGCGCGGCGA